UUGAUUCCGAGGAACCAAUUGAUCC
rnacentral:piRNA from 1 species